UACGUAGGGUGCAAGCGUUAAUCGGAAUUACUGGGCGUAAAGCGUGCGCAGGCGGUGAUGUAAGACAGAUGUGAAAUCCCCGGGCUCAACCUGGGAACUGCAUUCGUGAUGCUGCAUUGCUGGAGUGCGGCAGAGGGGGAUGGAAUUCCGCGUGUAGCAGUGAAAUGCGUAGAUAUGCGGAGGAACACCGAUGGCGAAGGCAAUCCCCUGGGCCUGCACUGACGCUCAUGCACGAAAGCGUGGGGAGCAAACAGGAUUA
rnacentral:rRNA from 1 species